rnacentral:rRNA from 2 species
GUAUGUGCCCGAGAGGGGAAAGAUUUAUCGCCUUUGGAUCGGCCCGCGUNUGAUUAGCUAGUUGGUGGGGUAAUGGCCCACCAAGGCGACGGUCAGUAGCUGGUCUGAGAGGAUGGCCAGCCACACUGGGACAGAGACACGGCCCAGACUCCUACGGGAGGCAGCAGUGGGGAAUAUUGGACAAUGGGCGCAAGCCUGAUCCAGCCAUGCCGCGUGAGUGAUGAAGGCCUUAGGGUUGUAAAGCUCUUUCGCCAGGGACGAUAAUGACGGUACCUGGAUAAGAAGCCCCGGCUAACUUCGUGCCAGCAGCGGCGGUAAUACGAAGGGGGCUAGCGCUGUUCGGAAUCACUGGGCGUAAAGCGUAUGCAGGCGGAUCGUUAAGUCGGGGGUGAAAUCCUGAGGCUCAACCUCAGAACUGCCUUCGAUACUGACGAUCUUGAGUCCGGGAGAGGUGAGUGGAACUGCGAGUGUAGAGGUGAAAUUCGUAGAUAUUCGCAAGAACACCAGUGGCGAAGGCGGCUCACUGGCCCGGUACUGACGCUGAGAUACGAAAGCGUGGGGAGCAAACAGGAUUAGAUACCCUGGUAGUCCACGCCGUAAACGAUGGAUGCUAGCCGUCGGCAAGUUUACUUGUCGGUGGCGCAGCUAACGCAAUAAGCAUCCCGCCUGGGGAGUACGGUCGCAAGACUAAAACUCAAGGAAUCGACGGGGGCCCGCACAAGCGGUGGAGCAUGUGGUUCAAUUCGAAGCAACGCGAAGAACCUUACCAGGCCUUGACAUCCCGGUCGCGG